rnacentral:tRNA from 1 species
GGGAAGUUGGCGGAGUCCGGCUGAACGCGGUCGUUUUGAAAACGGCAGGAGUGAAAACACUCCCGCGAGUUCAAAUCUCGCACUUCCCU